GUGCCAGCAGCCGCGGUAAUUCCAGCUCCAAUAGCGUAUAUUAAAGUUGUUGUGGUUAAAAAGCUCGUAGUUGGAUCUCGGCGGACUGAGGGCGGUUUGCUUGCUAGUAUUACUGCCCUAUAGUCCGUAGUUUUGCCAGAGGUUUCGGGGUGCUCUUAAUCGAGUGUCCCGGGAUGCUGGCAGGUUUACUUUGAAAAAAUUAGAGUGCUCAAAGCAGGCUAUUACGCCUGAAUAUUCGUGCAUGGAAUAAUAGAAUAGGAAGUCGUUUCUAUUUUGUUGGUUUUCGGAAAUCGACUUAAUGAUUAAUAGGGACAGUCGGGGGCAUUUGUAUUCAAACGACAGAGGUGAAAUUCUGGGACCGUUUGAAGACAAACUACUGCGAAAGCAUUUGCCAAGAAUGUUUUCAUUAAUCAAGAACGAAAGUUAAAGGUUCGAAG
rnacentral:rRNA from 1 species